rnacentral:lncRNA from 1 species
ACUUCCUGUCUUUCCCCGUCAUUGAGUCUGCAUAGACGAGAAAAGGAGGGGUUAGUUGACCAAGGUAUGCAAGUAAGUUAAAAAACACAUAAAAACAUGCAUGAAAAGGUGCAGGUAUCCUAAGAGAGGAAAAAAGAGCUACCUAUGUACUUUUUUAAGGCCACCACAUCGAACUCGUCUUUGAUGAGACGAGCAGAAUUGUACUUGGCCCCCAGGAGCAGCCCGCACAGCUCGCGCUCAUAGGGGGCCAUAGCUUCGAGGCCCCUGGACUUCUUGAAUUCAACUCCGGGAACCCAGUAGAGGGGAUAUCCCUCGAGCAGAUUUGGACUUUGAGGGGUAGCAGAUAUCAUGUAGAAUCUGCCCUUCCAAUCUUUGAAGGAUUGCUGGUACAGGCCCAGGAGCACCCGACCAGCAACCCCGUUCAGGCUGACCCAGGACCUGUCCCCAGGGUUCUUCGCUUCGAAGAAAUAGA